UACGAAGGGGGCUAGCGUUGUUCGGAAUUACUGGGCGUAAAGCGCGCGUAGGCGGUGAUCUAUGUCAGGGGUGAAAUCCCGGGGCUCAACUCCGGAAUUGCCUUUGAAACGGGAUCGCUAGAGUCCGAGAGAGGAUGGCGGAAUUCCUAGUGUAGAGGUGAAAUUCGUAGAUAUUCGGAAGAACACCAGUGGCGAAGGCGGCUCACUGGACUGGUAUUGACGCUGAGGUGCGAAAGCGUGGGGAGCAAACAGG
rnacentral:rRNA from 1 species